rnacentral:rRNA from 1 species
CAGGGAUUGCCCUAGUAACGGCGAGUGAAGCGGCAACAGCUCAAAUUUGAAAUCUGGCUCACGCCCGAGUUGUAAUUUGUAGAGGAUGCUUUUGGUGCGGUGCCUUCUGAGUUCCCUGGAACGGGACGCCAGAGAGGGUGAGAGCCCCGUAUAGUUGGACACCAAACCUCUGUAAAGCUCCUUCGACGAGUCGAGUAGUUUGGGAAUGCUGCUCAAAAUGGGAGGUAAAUUUCUUCUAAAGCUAAAUACCGGCCAGAGACCGAUAGCGCACAAGUAGAGUGAUCGAAAGAUGAAAAGCACUUUGAAAAGAGGGUUAAACAGCACGUGAAAUUGUUGAAAGGGAAGCGCUUGUGACCAGACUUGCGCCUUGCGAAUCAUCCAGCGUUCUCGCUGGUGCACUUCGUUUGGCUCAGGCCAGCAUCGGUUUUCCCAGGGGGAUAAAGGCGUCGGGAACGUAGCUCUCUCCGGGGAGUGUUAUAGCCCGGCGUACAAUAUCCUUGGGGGGACCGAGGUUCGCGCUCUGCAAGGAUGCUGGCGUAAUGGUCAUCAGCGACCCGUCUUGAAACACGGACCAAGGAGUCAAGCAUUAGGGCGAGUGUUUGGGUGUCAAACCCGCACGCGUAAUGAAAGUGAACGUAGGUGAGAGCUUCGGCGCAUCAUCGACCGAUCCUGAUGUAUUCGGAUGGAUUUGAGUAAGAGCCUUACCGCUUGGACCCGAAAGAUGGUGAACUAUGCUUGUAUAGGGUGAAGCCAGAGGAAACUCUGGUGGAGGCUCGCAGCGGUUCUGACGUGCAAAUCGAUCGUCAAAUAUGAGCAUGGGGGCGAAAGACUAAUCGAACCAUC